rnacentral:rRNA from 1 species
AGACGGAGGGGGCUAGCGUUGUUCGGAAUUAUUGGGCGUAAAGCGCGCGUAGGCGGUUUGGUAAGUCGGAUGUGAAAGCCCAGGGCUCAACCCUGGAAGUGCAUUCGAAACUGCCUCACUUGAGUCCUGGAGAGGGUGGUGGAAUUCCCAGUGUAGAGGUGAAAUUCGUAGAUAUUGGGAGGAACACCGGUGGCGAAGGCGACCACCUGGACAGAGACUGACGCUGAGGUGCGAAAGCGUGGGGAGCGAACAGGAUUAGAAACCCCAGUAGUCC